AGCAGCCGCGGUAAUUCCAGCUCCAAUAGCGUAUAUUAAAGUUGUUGCAGUUAAAAAGCUCGUAGUUGAAUUUCGGGGUUAGUAGGUUGGUCGUGCCUUUGGUAUGUACUGGUCUCACUGAUUCCUCCUUCUUGAAGAACUGUAAUGUCAUUAAUUUGGUGUUGCAGGGAAACAGGACUGUUACUUUGAAAAAAUUAGAGUGUUUAAAGCAGGCUAACGCCUGAAUACAUUAGCAUGGAAUAAUGAAAUAGGACGUUUGAUCCUAUUUUGUUGGUUUCUAGGAUUGACGUAAUGAUUAAUAGGGAUAGUUGGGGGCAUUAGUAUUCAAUUGUCAGAGGUGAAAUUCUUGGAUUUAUUGAAGACUAACUACUGCGAAAGCAUUUGCCAAGGAUGUUUUCAUUAAUCAAGAACGAAAGUUAGGGGAUCGAAGACGAUCAGAUACCGUCGUAGUCUUAACCAUAAACUAUGCCGACUAGGGAUCGGAUGAUGUUAAUUUUUAAUGACUCAUUCGGCGCCUUAC
rnacentral:rRNA from 1 species